UAAGGUAUUUAACUGUUACCAAUGAUCCAUUGCCUGUAAGGAUCAGCGUUGAGCGGCGAACAAAAACUCCCGUAGCCUGAAAGGGAGUGCAUGCAAUGCGGUACAUCUACGCACUUUUGGAAGCAGAUAUCAUCAGACCAAUAACCC
rnacentral:sRNA from 1 species